CGGAGUGUGGGCUAAUUGGUUAGCCGCCUAGUUUGGGACUAGGAGUUUAUGCAGGUUCGAGUCCUGUCUCUCCGACAA
rnacentral:tRNA from 1 species